UACGUAGGGUGCGAGCGUUGUCCGGAAUUAUUGGGCGUAAAGGGCUCGUAGGCGGUUUGUCGCGUCGGGAGUGAAAACUCAGGGCUUAACCCUGAGCCUGCUUCCGAUACGGGCAGACUAGAGGUAUGCAGGGGAGAACGGAAUUCCUGGUGUAGCGGUGAAAUGCGCAGAUAUCAGGAGGAACACCGGUGGCGAAGGUGGUUCUCUGGGCCUGUACUGACGCUGAGGAGCGAAAGCGUGGGGAGCAAACAGG
rnacentral:rRNA from 1 species